rnacentral:rRNA from 1 species
AGAACGAACGCUGGCGGCGUGGAUAAGACAUGCAAGUGGAACGACGACUGUACGGUAGCAAUAUCGGCCAGUUGGAGUCGCGUAAGGGUGCGUAACACGUAGCUUACCUGCCUCAAAGUGGUGAAUAACUCCGAGAAAUCGGAGCUAAUACGCCAUGUGACCGCAAGAUUAAAGCCGGGGACCGCAAGGCCUGGCGCUUUGAGAUGGGGCUGCGGCCCAUCAGCUAGUUGGCGGGGUAACAGCCCACCAAGGCUUUGACGGGUAGCUGGUCUGAGAGGACGACCAGCCACACUGGAACUGAGACACGGUCCAGACACCUACGGGUGGCAGCAGUCGAGAAUUUUUCACAAUGGGGGAAACCCUGAUGGAGCGACGCCGCGUGGGGGAUGAAUGGCUUCGGCCCGUAAACCCCUGUCAUUCGGGAUCAAAGCUUGCAACCCAACACGUUGCAAGCCGAUAGUACUGAAAGAGGAAGGGACGGCUAACUCUGUGCCAGCAGCCGCGGUAAUACAGAGGUCCCAAGCGUUGUUCGGAUUCACUGGGCGUAAAGAGUGCGUAGGUGGUAGGUUAAGUCUAUCGUGAAAUCUCCGGGCCUAACCCGGAAACUGCGGUGGAUACUAUCCUGCUAGAGGAUUGGAAGGGGGACUGGAAUUCUCGGUGUAGCAGUGAAAUGCGUAGAUAUCGAGAGGAACACCAGUGGCGAAGGCGAGUCCCUGGAAAACUCCUGACACUGAGGCACGAAAGCUAGGGGAUCAAACGGGAUUAGAUACCCCGGUAGUCCUAGCCGUAAACGGUGCAUGUUUGCUGUGGGCGGAAUCGACCCCGUCCGUGGCGUAGCCAACGCGAUAAACAUGCCGCCUGGGGAGUACGGUCACAAGAUUAAAACUCAAAGAAAUUGACGGGGGCCUGCACAAGCGGUGGAGUAUGUGGCUUAAUUCGAUCAACGCGAAGAACCUUACCUGGCCUUGACAUGCAUGUGAUAGAAGCCUGAAAGGGCAACGACCUCGCAAGAGGAGCAUGCACAGGUGCUGCAUGGCUGUCGUCAGCUCGUGUCGUGAGAUGUUGGGUUAAGUCCCGCAACGAGCGCAACCCCUGUGUCCUGUUGCCACCCGGCCAAAAACCGGAGCACUCUGGACAGACUGCCUCGCUCAAACGGGGAGGAAGGUGGGGAUGACGUCAAGUCAGGAUGGCCCUUACGGCCAGGGCUGCACACGUACUACAAUGCCCGGUACAAUGGGGUGCUACACGGUAACGUGAUGCCAAUCCCUAAAAACCGGGCUCAGUUCAGAUUGUCGUCUGCAACUCGACGACAUGAAGCUGGAAUCGCUAGUAACGGCGCAUCAGCUACGGCGCCGUGAAUACGUUCCCAGGCCUUGUACACACCGCCCGUCACAUCAUGAAAGCCGGUUGUACCCGAAGUCGCCCUUAACCGGUGCCGAAGGUAUGGCUGGUGAUUGGGAUGAAGUCGUAACAAGGUA